rnacentral:rRNA from 1 species
UACGUAGGGGGCAAGCGUUGUCCGGAAUCAUUGGGCGUAAAGAGCGUGUAGGCGGUCCGGUAAGUCGGCUGUGAAAGUCCAGGGCUCAACCCUGGGAUGCCGGUCGAUACUGCCGGACUAGAGUUCGGAAGAGGAGAGUGGAAUUCCUGGUGUAGCGGUGAAAUGCGCAGAUAUCAGGAAGAACACCGAUGGCGAAGGCAGCUCUCUGGGACGGUACUGACGCUGAGACGCGAAAGCGUGGGGAGCGAACAGG